rnacentral:rRNA from 1 species
AGUUCGGAUCGAAGUCUGCAACCCGACUUCGUGAAGCUGGAUUCGCUAGUAAUCGCGCAUCAGCCAUGGCGCGGUGAAUACGUUCCCGGGCCUUGUACACACCGCCCGUCAAGCCAUGAAAGCCGGGGGUACCUGAAGUACGUAACCGCAAGGAUCGUCCUAGGGUAAAACUGGUAAUUGGGGCUAAGUCGUAACAAGGUAUC